rnacentral:rRNA from 1 species
CCAGCACCUGCGGUAAUUCCAGCUCCAAUAGCGUAUAUUAAAGUUGUUGCGGUUAAAAAGCUCGUAGUUGGAUUUCUGCUGAGAACGACCGGUCCGCCCUCUGGGUGUGUAUCUGGCUCUUUCUUGGCAUCUUCUUGGUGAACGUUGCUGCACUUGACUGUGUGGAGCGCUACCCAGGACUUUUACUUUGAAAAAAUUAGAGUGUUUAAAGCAGGCUUACGCUUGAAUACAUUAGCAUGGAAUGAUGGAAUAGGACUUUGGUUCUAUUUUGUUGGUUUCUAGGACCAAAGUAAUGAUGAAUAGGGAUAGUUGGGGGCAUUAGUAUUGAGCUGUCAGAGGUGAAAUUCUUGGAUUUGCUCAAGACUAACAACUGCGAAAGCAUUUGCCAAGGAUGUUUUCA